UGGCUGUAGCUAAAUUAAACACGCCGAGGAGUUUACUGGCCGGUUGUUGUGAUAGCUAUCGACUGAUCUGCUUACCGAACUUCUCACAAUU